rnacentral:rRNA from 1 species
UUGCUAUUGGAGGCUGUGGCAAUUCUAUAAAGUUAUCGUGCAAUCAAUGCCUAUUUCUGGAUUUCUUUUUUUUUUACCUAUAAAGAAUCGCGGCUCGCCGCUCCCUUGUAGAUUCAUAAUAACUUCUCGAAUCUCAUGGCCUUGUGCCGGCGAAGCUUCAUUCAAAUAUCUGCCCUAUCAACUUUCCAUGGUAUGAUAUAGGCCUACCAUGGUUUCAACGGGUAACGGGGAAUAAGGGUUCGAUUCCGGAGAGGGAGCCUGAGAAACGGCUACCACAUCCAAGGAAGGCAGCAGGCGCGCAAAUUACCCAAUCCCGACACGGGGAGGUAGUGACAAUAAAUAACAAUAUAGGGCUCUUUUGGGUCUUAUAAUUGGAAUGAGUACAAUUUAAAUCCCUUAACGAGGAACAAUUGGAGGGCAAGUCUGGUGCCAGCAGCCGCGGUAAUUCCAGCUCCAAUAGCGUAUAUUAAAGUUGUUGCAGUUAAAAAGCUCGUAGUUGA